rfam:Ipomoea nil DNA, scaffold: scaffold2191, cultivar: Tokyo-kokei standard.
GCACCUAUGGCUUAAUGGAUAAAACACUUGACUUUUAAUCAAGCGAUUGUGGGUUUGAAUCCCUAUGGUGUG